ensembl:lncRNA
CGCAGCCGUGGGGGAGCGGGGGGCUCCCUGAUUCAGAGGCCUCCAGCCCAGCCUCCCCACCCCCCGCGCAGAUGGCUGGCUCAGCCCAGCUGAGAGGGAGGAGCUCGGAAGAGAGGAGCCAGGCCGCGUGGCCUGCAGUGGGGGGCGCAGGGCAGAUGGAAGCGUCUGCAGGCCGGGCUGGGGGGACCUCGUGCACCUGGACGUUGGCCGAGCUGCGGGUCGCACAGACGCAGGGGCAGCGAGCUCCCCAGGGAGGGGCAGGCGGGAGGGGGAGGGGACAGUGACGUUGCUGUUUUCAGAGACAGGAAGGAGGGCUCAGGGGAACCUCGCAGGCGGGGCUGGGAGGCUGCGGGCAGGGACUCGGGCCGAGCACACAGCCACAGCCGGCUGUCCUGUCUCCUGGGGCCUCGGGGCCACUUCCUCCCGCCGCAGAGAGCUGCGUCCUCAGCGCGGCGCUGAAGCUGAGCCUCCUGGUCCUGGGCUGGGCGUCAGCUGCCGGGCGGGGCCUCCCGGGACCACCGGCUGACACGAGAUGACCUGGCUCGGACUGGCCAAGAUUCGUCCCUCCCCCCGCCAUGGCCACGUCCCUCUGCUGUGACCUUCCAGGGCUCCACUGGGCAUGAGCGCUCGUCAGCCCGGCGUUGGAGAGCCCUGCGUGGCACCUCACGGAUAGUCACACGCCUCGGAGAGGGCCAGCCCGCUGCGUCCCCAGGCUCCAGAACCAGGCCCACCACCCAGCAGGUGCUCAGUCAUGACUUGCUGCGACUGUGAAAUGCGUGCACAGCGUCGCCUGCCCUGGAAGACAGCAGAGGCAUGUCUCAGUGCACCGUGCCACUGCCGCCCGCCGUCAUCACCAUCCCCUGGAAGUGGCCUCUCUGCUGCAUACCCAGCCCCGGGAGCCACCUGCGCUCUGGGCCUCGGCCCCUCACUCCUCCACACGGCCCCCGUGUGGGCAUUGCUGCAGCAGGAUUCUCUUUUCAAAACUUUAUUUCUUCCCCAGUUUUAUUGGGAUCUAACUGACAUACAAUGUAUUAGUUUGGGGCGUACAACACGAUGACUUGAUAGAUGUGGGUAUCACGAUGAGCACCAGAAUCGCUCAGUUAGCGUCCAUCGCACACAGCCACACAGUCUUUAUCUUGUCAGGGGAACUUUGAUGAUUUGCUCUCUGGCAAGUUUCAAAUAUACGCUCCGGCCUCGUCACCUUCAGGCGGGAUUCCUCAGCGAUAUUCAUUCCCGUUUAUUCCCCGUCAUUCUCCCUCCUCCGAUUCCAAGACAGUUUGUCGCUCUGUGAAUUUUCUUGAUUUUGUUUUUACCAAGCAGGGAGUAGAAGCUUCUGGCAGACAGUUAUCUAUCUGCCUUGUAUUAAGCUGGGCUCUCUAGAGACACAGACCAAUGGGAUAUCCACAUCCACAUCCAUAUCCAUAUCAAUAUCUACAUCCACAUAUCAUCUGUAUCUAUGUCUGUCUAUCUAUCUAUCCAUCUGUCUGUCUGUCUGUCUAUCUACUUGUCUAUCUCCCUAUCUAGAGACUCAUUAGAAGGAAUUGGCUCACGUGGUUAUGGAGGCUGAGAAGCCCCACGAUUUGCCGUCUGCACGCUGGAGGCCCAGGAGGCCGUGGUGUAAGCUCCAGUCCGACUCUGGGUCCAAAGGCAGGGAAGACGGACGUCCCUGCGUGAAGACAGUCAGGCAGAGAGAGUGAAUCCUCCCUUACUCCCUUUUUGUUCUAUUCAGGCCUUCAACUGAUUGGACAAGGCCCACCCACAUUGGGGAGAACAAUCUGCUUCAGUCAGUCUAUGGAUUCAAAUGUUAAUCUCAUCCAGAAACACACCCAGAAUGGUGUUUGACCAAAUACCAGGGCAGCCCUUGGUCCAGCAAGCUGAUACAUAAAAUUAGCCAUCUCAUGCCUUUUGUGAAAACCCCAUGUAUUAAUCAGUCAGGGUAUAGGCUCAGCUGCUGUAACAAAGAAACCCCCAAACACACAGGUUCAGACAGGAGAGGAGUUUGUUUCUGCUGGGAGAUGUGCCAAGGGAGGCGAAGGCAGGAGAGUCUGGGGACCCUGUCCCUCCGUCUUGUUCCAGCAGCCCCAGGAUACAGUCCUUCACGGCCCCGGGGGGACGUGGAGCCAGAACCAGACCCACGUCUAGCUCUCAGAAGCGGGAGAGAAAGACAGUGGCGGGCAGGCGGCUGCUGCGAAAGUGGCACGACCGUUUCUGCGGCAUCCGACGGGAGCGAGGGCGUGGGGUGGGUGGCGGCUCAGCAUCCGGUCCCAGCUGCGCGCUCUCACAGGGCUGGGCGUCCCAGACCCAAUGUGAGCAGCUAUCGGCUCUGGAGCGGCGCCGAGGGAGAGGGGGUUCCACAGGCUGGAGUCGCAGAGCCAGGCUGGCCUGGUCACCUCAUCCCGCGGUGCUGCCGGGAGGGGACAGGAUCUGGGCGCUGCCUCUGCGCCCGCAUGGACGGCUGCCCGCCAUGCAGAUGCUGCGGAGCUUCCACCAGAGGGACCGCGGGCUGCAUCCUGCACAUCUUACGGGCGGCCGGAGGGACCCCUCGGUCAUUUGGUCUCUCAUCCGACACAGCACGGAGCAGCCCACUCCUGAGACCGAGACUGAAUUUCCUUGGAAUCG